rnacentral:rRNA from 1 species
UAGGGAAUCUUCCGCAAUGGACGCAAGUCUGACGGAGCAACGCCGCGUGAGUGAAGAAGGAUUUCGGUUCGUAAAACUCUGUUGUUAGAGAAGAACAGCGCAUAGAGUAACUGUUAUGCGUGUGACGGUAUCUAACCAGAAAGCCACGGCUAACUACGUGCCAGCAGCCGCGGUAAUACGUAGGUGGCAAGCGUUGUCCGGAUUUAUUGGGCGUAAAGCGAGCGCAGGCGGUCAAUUAAGUCUGAUGUGAAAGCCCCGGCUCAACCGGGGAGGGUCAUUGGAAACUGGUUGACUUGAGUGCAGAAGAGGAGAGUGGAAUUCCAUGUGUAGCGGUGAAAUGCGUAGAUAUAUGGAGGAACACCAGUGGCGAAGGCGACUCUCUGGUCUGUAACUGACGCUGAGGUUCGAAAGCGUGGGUAGCAAACAGG